rnacentral:rRNA from 1 species
CUUGGUCAUUUAGAGGAAGUAAAAGUCGUAACAAGGUUUCCGUAGGUGAACCUGCGGAAGGAUCAUUACCUAGAGUUUGCAGACUUCGGUCUGCUACCUCUUACCCAUGUCUUUUGAGUACCUUCGUUUCCUCGGCGGGUCCGCCCGCCGGUUGGACAACAUUCAAACCCUUUGCAGUUGCAAUCAGCGUCUGAAAAAACUUAAUAGUUACAACUUUCAACAACGGAUCUCUUGGUUCUGGCAUCGAUGAAGAACGCAGCGAAAUGCGAUAAGUAGUGUGAAUUGCAGAAUUCAGUGAAUCAUCGAAUCUUUGAACGCACAUUGCGCCCCUCGGUAUUCCAUGGGGCAUGCCUGUUCGAGCGUCAUUUGUACCUUCAAGCUCUGCUUGGUGUUGGGUGUUUUGUCUCGCCUCCGCGCGCAGACUCGCCUUAAAACAAUUGGCAGCCGGCGCAUUGAUUUCGGAGCGCAGUACAUCUUGCGCUUUGCACUCAUAACGACGACGUCCAAAAGUACAUUUUUACACUCUUGACCUCGGAUCAGGUAGGGAUACCCGCUGAACUUAAGCAUAUCAAUAAGCGGAGGAA